AUUGAACGCUGGCGGCAGGCCUAACACAUGCAAGUCGAACGAGUGGCGGACGGGUGAGUAAUGUCUGGGAAACUGCCUGAUGGAGGGGGAUAACUACUGGAAACGGUAGCUAAUACCGCAUACUAUCAGAUGAGCCUAGGUCGGAUUGGCUAGUUGGUGGGGUAAAGGCCGACCAAGGCGACGAUCCGUAACUGGUCUGAGAGGAUGAUCAGUCACACUGGAACUGAGACACGGUCCAGACUCCUACGGGAUGCAGCAGUGGGGAAUGUUGGACAAUGGGCGAAAGCCUGAUCCAGCCAUGCCGCGUGUGUGAAGAAGGUCUUCGGAUUGUAAAGCACUGUAAGUUGGGAGGCGUUACCAACAGAAGAAGCACCGGAUAACUCCGUGCCAGCAGCCGCGGUAAUAC
rnacentral:rRNA from 1 species